rnacentral:rRNA from 2 species
GGGAUUGCCCUAGUAACGGCGAGUGAAGCGGCAACAGCUCAAAUUUGAAAUCUGGCCCUUGGGUCCGAGUUGUAAUUUGUAGAGGAUGUUUUUGGUGCGGUAUCUUCCGAGUUCCUUGGAACAGGACGCCUUAGAGGGUGAGAGCCCCGUACGGUUGAAUGCCUAGCCUUUGUAAAACUCCUUCGACGAGUCGAGUAGUUUGGGAAUGCUGCUCUAAAUGGGAGGUAAAUUUCUUCUAAAGCUAAAUACUGGCCAGAGACCGAUAGCGCACAAGUAGAGUGAUCGAAAGAUGAAAAGCACUUUGAAAAGAGGGUUAAAUAGCACGUGAAAUUGUUGAAAGGGAAGGAUUUAUGACCAGACUUUUUCUGGGCGGAUCAUCCGGUGUUCUCACCGGUGCACUUCGCUCAGUUUAGGCCAGCAUCGAUUUUCGGUGGGGGAUAAAAGCUUUAGGAAUGUGGCUCCUCCGGGAGUGUUAUAGCCUAUUGUAUAAUACCCUACUGGGGAUCGAGGUACGCGCUUCUGCAAGGAUGCUGGCGUAAUGGUUAUCAAUCACCCGUCUUGAAACACGGACCAAGGAGUCGAACAUUUGUGCAAGUGUUUGGGUGUUAAACCCUCACGCGUAAUGAAAGUGAACGGAGGUGAGAGCCCUUACGGGUGCAUCAUCGACCGAUCCUGAUGUUUUCGGAUGGAUUUGAGUAAGAGCAUAACUGUUCGGACCCGAAAGAUGGUGAACUAUGCGUGGAUAGGGUGAAGCCAGAGGAAACUCUGGUGGAGGCUCGCAGCGGUUCUGACGUGCAAAUCGAUCGUCAAAUCUGCGCAUGGGGGCGAAAGACUA